rnacentral:lncRNA from 1 species
GGCCUCUCUGGAGCCCCUCCUAGGAGUGCAUUUAGCAGGGCAGAGGCUCGGAGCUCUUCCCGGGGGUACAUUCAGCAGUGGCAGAAGCUCAGCAGAUGCUGGGGUUUUGUGUGGGUGAGAGCUGAGGGUUGGGCUUCCUGCACAGUGCCAAGAGUGGCAUUGCAAGUUACUCCUUCCCUCCCAGAGCCCAUUUAUUUUUAAGCCACUCUCUCCCCUCCAUGCUAAUCGCUGUAUAGAACAAGGAGAAAAGGAAAGAACGCGUCCCUGGGGCCUUCAGCCUGUCGUGAACAAAGCACGACUAUUUUGUAAAGGGAAGAUCAAAGAGCCAGAAGUCGCGGAUGUGUAUGUGGCAGGUGGGGACUCAGAGUGACAGUGGCCAUGCGGUGUGUCCCGUGGUCGCCCCAGAGGCGGAUGGGCCAGGCUGCUGCACAUACCCUGGGAGGAGGCAGGGAGCUGUCUGUCUCUCUGUCCCUGGCUGGCGUGGCCCGGCAGGAGGCGAGGCUGAUAUUUUCAGGAGACCUGGUGAUUUGACCUGACACCUGUCAGUCAGUUUCAUGCUCUUGUGCCCAUCUAAUGAUUCCUAAAGGGCCACAGACCGGUACUGGUCCUUGGCCCAGGGGUUGAGGACCCCCGUUCUAUAAGGUCGGGAGAGAGGCCUCAGAAGAAACCAACCCUGCCGAGACACCUUGAUCUCAGACUUCAGCCUCCAGAACUGCGCGGUGAUGCGUUCCUGUUGAAGGCACUCUGACCGCAGUGGCUUGCCGUGGCAGCCCUCAACAACAAAUACAGAGUCUGUUGAACCAAAUGAAUCCAAAAUGUAUGCCCAAAGAUAGCCGCCAGGUCUAUGAAAACACCUGCUCUGAUACGAGGGGACGUGGACGACAGAGGUGAGUGCUGGAAUUCAAGUUGGUCUCGUUAGUCAUUCUCCUGCCCCAUGCCCCCUGCCCCCAUAACAGUUACAUUGUCUUAAAACGUACUCGUUUAAAAAGGUAUUUACACAACAGAUCAACAUUUAAGUACAUGUUUAAAAGCAAUUAUGAAUGUGCUCACCUGUCAGGGCGGGAUGGUUUUGCUCAUGUGUUUCCAGUUGGUUGGGUAAAUAAUCAGCUCGGGUGUUGUUUUGUUUUACGCCUACCCCCUACUGUAAUUGUGUGUUUACUUUUAUGAUAAUGUCACAUCACUCUCAUAUUUAACUACUAGCAGGGAUUAAGUUAUUCCAAUAAAAGACAGAGAAAUUUCAGACCCUGUUUCCUGCCUAUCCCCACCCCCAUCAUUCAAAAAUUGGACAAUUUUCCAAGAUGAUCGGAAGCAGCGUUGAGCAUUUGGAAGCCAUGGAUGCCCUGGCCCAUGGCAGUGUUUUUCAAUGGUAACCCACUUGCCGAUAAGGUCUCCCCGUGUGGGGUCAAAGGAUGUGGCCCCUGCCAUCCUUGUGGUCACUAGGGAGGGUACAGGCCUUUCCACCAUGACUGUGAGGCCUCCCCAGCCAUGUGGAAGUAUAAGUCCAUCAAACCUCUUUUUCUUCCCAGUCUCGGGUAUGUCAUUAUCAGCAGUGUGAAAAUGGACUCACUCCCACCCUGUCUGGAUCUGGACAAGAGCCCACCACCCUGUUGGCAGUAGUCAGGCAGCUCUGCUCCUAAGAACCUGCAGCUUUUAGAAGAAAGGCACCCUGUGGUUUCAGAAGCCCAAGAGUCCCUGCAGCUCAGCACCUCCAGCCUGGUGCUUGGCAGAUAAUUGGCUCCUCACUUAGGAGAGGGAGCACUUGGGUGAGAGCCACAGCUGAUUGCCAGAAAGUUACAGCGGGAGGGGGAGAUACCAACAGCAAGCCUUGCCUGGGACCCACCCGAGAAAAACUGUGUAUUCUUCAGAACAUCAUGAUAACCUGGCAUUCAUGGGUCUAUGGAGAGAAUUCAGGGGGUCUGGGAGCUUGGAUGGGAUAAAUUUGCAUCUUUAUUUUCAGGAAAGUUUUACUGAAGUUUAGCAUUUUCUUUCAUUAUAAAUGGAACAGUACAACCCAAUAGUAUGCACAGUUACUUCUCCACAACGUUAAAGUGGCUGCAGCAUUUAAAAAUAUUAUUUUGAGAAGGGCUUCC